rnacentral:rRNA from 1 species
AUUGAACGCUGGCGGCAGGCCUAACACAUGCAAGUCGAGCGGAUGAAGGGAGCUUGCUCCUGGAUUCAGCGUCGGACGGGUGAGUAAUGCCUAUGAAUCUGCCUGGUAGUGGGGGAUAACGUCCGGAAACGGGCGCUAAUACCGCAUACGUCCUUAGGGAGAAAGUUGGGGAUCUUCGGACCUCACGCUCUCUUAUGAGCCUAGGUCGGAUUAGCUAGUUGGUGGGGUAAAGGCCUACCAAGGCGACGAUCCGUAACUGGUCUGAGAGGAUGAUCAGUCACACUGGAACUGAGACACGGUCCAGACGACUACGGGAGGCAGCAGUGGGGAAUAUUGGACAAUGGGCGAAAGCCUGAUCCAGCCAUGCCGCGUGUGUGAAGAAGGUCUUCGGAUUGUAAAGCACUUUAAGUUGGGAGGAAGGGCAGUAAGUUAAUACCUUGCUGUUUUGACGUUACCAACAGAAUAAGCACCGGCUAACUUCGUG